UACAGAGGGUGCAAGCGUUGUUCGGAAUUACUGGGCGUAAAGGGCGCGUAGGCGGUUUAGUAAGUCAGAUGUGAAAGCCCGGGGCUCAACUCCGGAAUUGCAUUUGAAACUGCUAGGCUAGAGUGCAGUAGAGGAUGGCGGAAUACCCAGUGGAGAGGUGAAAUUCGUAGAUAUUGGGUGGAACACCGGUGGCGAAGGCGGCCAUCUGGGCUGUAACUGACGCUGAGGCGCGAGAGCGUGGGGAGCAAACAGG
rnacentral:rRNA from 1 species